UCAUUGUGGUUUUUAAUUCUACAUUUAAAAAUCUGACAAAAAGUGAAAAUUUAAUAUAAUUGUGGCUGCUAUAAAACAAAUAAUUGGAAAAAUAUAAACAGAGGUCAACCCCGAGUGCGCAACAAACGUGGCCAGCACUUUAAUCAAGACGCGCGCAAAUUUUUUAACUACUGCAGCUUUGAGGCGCCAGCGCAUAAUUGAAUCAUAAGGACGCAGGGUCGAGACGCUCGGCGAGGCGCGGCGACGGCAAAGUUCGGCAGCUGCUGCUGCGGGGGCAAUGUUAACAAAGCCAAGCGAAUAAUUGUUGCAAACUGCUGCGAGAGAGAGACAGAGGGAGGCAGAGAGAGCGCGCGGAAUGGCAGCUGAGAAAUGACAGCAGUGUUGCUUUAAUUAAAGUCUCGGCGCGCAGUAGAAUGAGCAGGCGGAGCAGGCGCCACUCCCACCCAGCGGCAAGCGAAAGGAAAUUGAAACGCAAUGAACAACAGCAACAACAACAACAAACAGCAGAAGGACGACAACAACAGAGAAAAGUGGACGAAAUUGCUUUUGGAACUGAACGAGCAUCAUUUCAUACAUUUUGAUUACAUUUACCUAUUACAAGCAGCAGCAGCAGCCAGUUGCAACAAGGAAGAAGAAGAAGCAGCGACAGCAAAUAAAAAGAAACUUGGCAGGCAUUUGCUGUAAUAAUUUGUUAAAAUUGUAACGAGCGAGCAGGCAAAGUAUUAAACGAAAGUGUGAGGAUAUCAGCAACAGCUACAGAUGAACGCGCUGAAGUCGCCGCCAGCAGCAACAGCAACAGGGACAGCGACAGCGACAGUGACAGCGACAGCGACAGCGACAGUUGCACUGUAAGCAGAGACAACUGAAGUUGCAGCCAAGCGGCAAGUUCUGCCAGUGUCAGGCUAUAACA